rnacentral:misc_RNA from 1 species
UACGGAGGGUGCGAGCGUUAAUCGGAAUUACUGGGCGUAAAGCGCACGUAGGCGGCCAUGUAAGUUGGGGGUGAAAUCCCAGGGCUCAACCCUGGAACUGCCUUCAAAACUACAUAGCUAGAGGAUGUGAGAGGAUAGUGGAAUUCCGAGUGUAGAGGUGAAAUUCGUAGAUAUUCGGAAGAACACCAGUGGCGAAGGCGACUGUCUGGCACAUUUCUGACGCUGAGGUGCGAAAGCGUGGGGAGCAAACAGG